UACGUAGGGGGCAAGCGUUGUCCGGAAUCAUUGGGCGUAAAGCGUGCGCAGGCGGUUUUGUAAGUCUGACGUGAAAUCCCCGGGCUUAACCUGGGAAUUGCGUUGGAGACUGCAAGGCUGGAGUCUGGCAGAGGGGGGUAGAAUUCCACGUGUAGCAGUGAAAUGCGUAGAGAUGUGGAGGAACACCGAUGGCGAAGGCAGCCCCCUGGGUCAAGACUGACGCUCAUGCACGAAAGCGUGGGGAGCAAACAGG
rnacentral:rRNA from 1 species